GAUGAACGCUGGCGGCGUGCCUAAUACAUGCAAGUCGAGCGAACAGACGAGGAGCUUGCUCCUCUGACGUUAGCGGCGGACGGGUGAGUAACACGUGGAUAACCACCUUAUAAGACGGGGAUAACUUGGGGAAACCGGGGCUAAUACGGGAAAAUAUAUUAAACCGCAUGGUUCAAUAGGGAAAAACGGUUUUGUUGUCACUUUAAGAGGGAUCCGCGCCGCAUUAGCUAGUUGGUAAGGUAACGGCUUACCAAGGCAACGAUGCGUAGCCGACCUGAGAGGGUGAUCGGCCACACUGGAACUGAGACACGGUCCAGACUCCUACGGGAGGCAGCAGUAGGGAAUCUUCCGCAAUGGGCGAAAGCUUGACGGAGCAACGCCGCGUGAGUGAUGAAGGUCUUCGGAUCGUAAAACUCUGUUAUUAGGGAAGAACAAAUGUGUAAGUAACUAUGCACGUCUUGACGGUACCUAAUCAGAAAGCCACGGCUAACUACGUG
rnacentral:rRNA from 1 species